ensembl:lncRNA
GUGCUCCCUAAAAAUAGAACUUUUCAUCUAUGCGCUUCAGUUGAAAGCUACUGAGGACUGGACACAGUGGUUAGAGGAGACUUGCUGGAAAUCUCAUUCUGAAAAAUUCCAGCAAUUCAAACAGUGUUCACCAAGUCAGAGGGAAAUUCUCUAAGGAAAGAAUCAGCAAAAUUAGCAUUGAGAAGGCAAGCAGCCAACCUGUUGAAGAGUUUGUGUGAGAACAUUGUAUACUUCCAUCGAACACAAGGGGACUAAUUAGCUUGAACAACCACAUUUAUCUCAGUCCAUAACAGUUCAACAUCUAUGUCAGGGGAAAUCUUGUUUCUCACUUGUAGGAGACAAUAAUUAAUAUUAAUUAAACUACUUUGCUGCAGUCUGAUCUAAUAACUUCUAGCAACCAUUACUAAGUCUUUAGUCUGUUGAUCCUUAAAUUAUUUCCUUUGUUUAAUCUGUGUAAAUUGUGUAAAUCUGUGUAAAUUGUUUAAAACUAUGCAAGGUAGACCGUAGAGAGAAGAGCUGCCCAAGUAUGACAGACAGGAGGGAAUGAUAUACGGUAGACAGAGGAUUUCUCCCUGUUGAAUUGUUCAGCCAUGAACAUCAGUGUUUCUAAUGUCUUGGGACCAGUGCUAUUCAACAUCUUCAUCGCUGACACAGACGAUGGCAUCGAGUGCAUCCUCAGCAAGUUUGCAGAUGGACCUGGACAGGCUGGAGAACUGGGCCCAUGUGAAACUAAUGAAGUUCAACAAGGCCAAGUGCAAGGUAAAAGUGGAAAGGUACAUUUCACUACAUACCGAAUUUGUUGAUAUUUGAAGACACUGACAUUUACUCAAGAAUUCUUAUUGGAAAACAGAAAGCUUUUCAGAUGAGGUCUUCUCACAGGCAUGUGUUUAUGACUCGCUUCCAAAAAAAAAAAAAAAAAAG